GAUAGCAGAACAUCACCCUCAACAUAAACCAUGUUCUCUGUAGCUUUGCUACUGCUGUUGGCAGCUGGAUCUCGUGUAAAGUGUGAGCAGUUGACACAGCCAACCUCUGUGACAGUGCAGCCAGGCCACCGUCUGACCAUCACCUGUCAGGUCUCUUAUGCUCUUAGCAGCUACUGGACAGGCUGGAUCAGGCAGGCUGCAGGGAAAGGACUGGAGUGGAUUGGUUCCAGAUAUACUGGAGGCUCUGCUUACAAAGACUCACUAAAGAACAAGUUCAGUAUUGACUUAGACACUUCAAGCAAGACAGUGACUUUAAAUGGACAGAAUAUGCAGCCUGAAGACACUGCUGUGUAUUACUGUGCGAGAGAUGCACAUUAA